rnacentral:rRNA from 1 species
CCUACGGGAGGCAGCAGUGGGGAAUAGUGGGCAAUGGGCGCAAGCCUGAUCCAGCAACGCCGCGUGAAGGAAGAAGGCUUUCGGGUUGUAAACUUCUUUUGUCAGGGAAGAGUAGAAGACGGUACCUGACGAAUAAGACACGGCUAACUACGGGCCAGCAGCCGCGGUAAUACGUAGGUGGCAAGCGUUGUCCGGAUUUACUGGGUGUAAAGGGCGUGUAGCCGGGUUGACAAGUCAGAUUUGAAAUCCUGCGGCUUAACCGCAGAACUGCAUUUGAAACUGUUGAUCUUGAGUACUGGAGAGGCAGAUGGAAUUCCUAGUGUAGCGGUGAAAUGCGUAGAUAUUAGGAGGAACUCCAGUGGCGACGGCGGUCUGCUGGACAGCAACUGACGGUGCGGCGCGAAAGCGUGGGUAGCAAACAGGAUUAGAUACCCGUGUAGUC